AACCUUGUGUGUUUUAACUAUUAUGACGUAUUUCAAAGCCUUCCUCAUAUGGGUUGUCUUUAUUUUGAAUAUAUAUUUUUAUAAGCAAAGAAUAACAAACAUUGUUUCGCAAACUGCUUGCACUCAUCCCGGAAAAUGCUAAUAGCAAAAUACCUCUCGGAGUCACAUACGAACCCAGCCCGGAAAUACACACUAAAUUGCCUUUUACGGAGGAAGUCUUUAAAUAAACAGAAGGUAAUAAGUUUAAAAGAUAUGUGGUUAGAAGCUGGCAUAAAGAAGCAGGCAUCAAGUUUAAAACUUAGUAAUUUGUUCUAUAAAUGCAUAAAACUAACAAUUUUAAUGAGUGUAAAAUUUGAAUAAAAAACUAUUGGAAGAUACAAUUAUUCAGGAAUGAUUUAUUCAAAGAAGUUAACUAAGGAGACUAGAAUGCUUU